UGUCACCAGGAAACUCUUUGAUGUCUGUGAUAAUUUUGUUGUUACUGUUUUUUUUUUCUUCCUUUUUUUUCAUAGGGGAAAGUAUGAAGUCAUCUUUCUCAUUGCUCUCCUCUUUAAGUCCAAGAGCAAAGUACUUCUAAAAGGCAGGCUUUGUGGUUCGCAUGGAAUGUAAAUAGCUCAAAUGGCCCCACUUCCAAGAAGCCUUCUUUAACCCUAAGGCUGAAUGAAGAAUGCAAACUUGACCUUGACUUUAAGGUCAAAGCAUUUUCAGACUGUGCGGUCAGCAGAGGGUAGAAAAAAAAAAAAUCAAUGUGAAGCAUAUUAGAGAAGAAUAAGGGUAAGAGUAAUGCAAAGAUGCUGGGAAGCCAUUCAGGAAUUGGAAACAACUGAGACAGAAAAAUCAGUUGGAAGUGAUUUCCCCUCUGUGGUGUCUUCCAGUCCUGGAGAGAACACUGGGAGAUGACUGGAUGACAUGGCUCCCUGUCUGGCCUGUGUCUAUUGAUUUGGUGAACUGGCUUCUACAGGAACAUAGAGAAGAUGUGGCAGAGGGCCACUGUCAUAAGGAAGCCUGGAAGAGUGAAGAAAGGUCUGAU
rnacentral:lncRNA from 9 species